rnacentral:lncRNA from 1 species
AUGAAAAGAUCAAGGGGCUGCAUCUGCGAAGUCCCAACAGGAACAGAGUUGGGUGUCUUACGGUUAUUGACAAAAGAAUCCAAAUGUGAAGCAAAUUGUGCUCGGAUGCUUCAAAGCCAGAAGGCAACGGAAAGAGACAGAACUUCUCUGCUAAGGUUUCUUCAGCUGGCUGCCCUGCACGUCCCUUCUGUGGCUCAGGCGUGUGCUUGGUACAUGCCGAGGUUUUCUUCCCCAUCCCCUGGAAGUUUCUCCAUGCCACGGGACACAGGCAAAGAGCAAACGUGUGUGUUGUUAUUGCAAGAGACAACUGCAGUCCCAGACGGAGGGUGA